rnacentral:lncRNA from 1 species
UUCUGGAUUUCCGGCUGAAACCAAGAUGGACGUAAAGUGGUGAGCUCCGACUGUUCGGCGGAGAGAACAGCCUCAUAUUGAUAAAUUAAAAAUCAAAACAUUUUCAAACUGAGUAUGCCAGGAGGCAAAUCGACAAGGAGUCGGAAAAACACUGGAAAAACGCAACAGAACCAAGAGAACGAGACAUUUUUCGGAGAAGAAACCAUGUUCCCAGAGGCCGCAGAAGCCAGCCUCGACCAACAGGCCCUGCUCCAAGCACUCUCUUCAUUUUCAAAAGAGUUGAAGGAUUUCAAACGAGAUAUAAAACAAGAGCUUGGUGAAUUUAAGAAUGAAGUUAAGAAGAGUAUGAAGGAAGACCUCGCGGAUUUUAAAGAAGAGCUUCUCCAAAAACUGCAAAGUCAAGGUACGGAGAUCGCGGAGGCGCAAACGCGAAUAACUGAUCUGGAGUCGGUUUGCUCGGAGAUGAAAGAAACGCUGCUGAUGGUGUUGAAAGAAAACACGAAAAUGCGAGACAAAAUCGUCGAUCUAGAAAGUCGCUCCAGAAGAAAUAACAUUCGGAUUUAUGGAGUACCCGAAGACAAAGAGGCGGGAUCUGUUAUUGAUUUUGUGAAAGAUUUAUUCAACAAGCACCUGUCUCUGCCAGAGGGAACGCAGCUUCAAAUCCAGCGAGCUCACAGAGCGCUGCUUCCCAAACCUGCUGACAAGGCCACGCCCAGAUCAAUAAUAGUAAACUUUCUUCAGUUCCAUGUUAAAGAACUGAUUCUACGUAAAGCGUGGCUGCAGAAGAUACAAAUGGAUGGCAGACGACUGUAUUUCGACAAUGACUACGCAUCUGAAAUCAUGGAGAGACGUAAAGCAUACGGCCCGGUAAAAGCUGCGCUAAAAGAAAAAGGGAUUCGGUUCCAGACUCCGUACACAAAGAUACGAGUGCACUGGGACUCUGGCUUGAGGAUCUACGAGACAGCAGAGGAGGCAGCGCGGGACCUGAAUCGGCGGGGGAUCAAAGUCAAGAUGACGACAACAGCGAAUACCAGCGCAGCAGCAGCGGCGGAGCGGCUGGAGGGGGCAUCACCAUGGAAACGGCACAAAGCGUCGCAACGCGUCAAGGAGGGGAUGACGGAGAAGAGAGGAACUUCAGAGUGAAGAGGAUAAAUCGGGUGAUCCAAGUUGUUUUUCUUUCUUUUUUAUUUCUCUCUCUCUCUCUUUUUUUUUUUUUUUUUCUCUUUCUCUUCGUUUGUUUGUUCUUCCCCGAAAGGACAAUGAUUGACAAUGCAGGGACAGCAAAGGACAAGUAAGGGAAAGGAGGG